rnacentral:rRNA from 1 species
UACGAAGGGGGCUAGCGUUGCUCGGAAUGACUGGGCGUAAAGGGCGCGUAGGCGGUGAACACAGUUAGGCGUGAAAUUCCCGGGCUCAACCUGGGGGCUGCGUUUAAUACAUGUUCGCUUGAGUUCGGAAGAGGGUCGUGGAAUUCCCAGUGUAGAGGUGAAAUUCGUAGAUAUUGGGAAGAACACCGGUGGCGAAGGGCGGCGCACUGGACCACAACUGACGCUGAGGCGCGAAAGCUAGGGGAGCAAACAGG